ensembl:lncRNA novel transcript
ACUGCAACCUCCACCUCCCGGGUUCAAGCGAUUCUCCUGCCUCAGCUCCCCCGAGUAGCUGGGAUUACGGGCACCUGCCACUACGCCCGGCUAAUUUUUGUAUUUUUAGUAGAGAUGGGGUUUCACCAUGUUGGCCAGGCUGGUCUUGAACUCCUGACCUCAGGUGAUCCACCCACCUCAGCUCCCAGAGUGCUAGGAUUACAGGCGUGAGCCACCACAAUUGGCCCAGUCUAUGGAUUUUUAAAAAAUAACUUGGGCUUGUCUUCCUUGCUGAAGAAGGCUGUUUUCCAGCCUGUCACACAGCAGUUAGGCUGUAGACCCUCACUGGAGCCCCUGCCCUGCAGAAUCGAGCACAUGUUCUUUCUGGGUCUGUGUGGGGUGUGGGUGUGGUCAGGACACCGUCUGUGACCUUAUUUACUGGGGACGUCCCCUGCUUGAGGAGAAUAUCCAGGCAAGGUCUCCUCACUCUCCUUAGCCACCAUCCAGCUUGGCCAAGAGGCCUCCCCAUGAUUCCUCCCACGCCAGGGCCUCGCCUUUGUUUUUCACUGUUAGGGGCUGGCGAGUCACUGACCCGCCCCCCUCCCUGCUGCCCAAACCACUUCUGUUUCCUGAAGGCGCCUUGGGAAUGCUGAGUCGCGAUUUCCUCAUCCCCUCGUGCAGCUGCAUUUCUGCUGCGUCAUGUUUGGGAGGGGGGACUCGCGGAAACAAAGGGAAGGCGGAUUUUGCUAGAUUUUGCUGAGUCACCAGUGCCUCCUCAGCUUCUCUUUAGGUGGGAGGUGAAAGGGCAGCUUUAAUGGUAGGCAGGAGGAAGUGAAACUUCUAGAAAACGGCAGAAGCCUC